UAACGCGUAGGUAACCUGCCUUGUAGCGGGGGAGUAACUAUUGGAAACGAUAGCUAAUACCGCAUAACAAUGGGUGGCUCAUGUCAUUUAUUUGAAAGGGGCAAAUGCUCCACUACAAGAUGGACCUGCGUUGUAUUAGCUAGUAGGUGAGGUAACGGCUCACCUAGGCGACGAUACAUAGCCGACCUGAGAGGGUGAUCGGCCACACUGGGACUGAGACACGGCCCAG
rnacentral:rRNA from 1 species